rnacentral:lncRNA from 1 species
GCAUCUCACCAGAAAUCUAAUGGAGCACUAAACAAUCACACACCACCAACCAAGCAAGAUAAAACAAUAAAGCCAACAAAAAGAUAAAAGUGAUACACAUAUCUAAUCUCACNCCCCUCCCCCAAACUUAUUACAGAACAUAAGUUCGAAAAUAAGUUUGGAGGGAUGAUGAUAUGUGUGUCACUACUUACAAAAAAUUUAUGCUCCACGGUGGUGGUAUGAACAAGGCGCGAGUUCCCGCAUCUUCCAAGCUCAACACUGCACUAAAAACCCCAAACAAAACAACGAAACAAAAAGAAACAAAACAAAACUAAAAGAACGAAAACAAAACAAAAUAAAACAGUUGGGUUACCUCCCAACAAGUGCUUAAUUUAACGUCUAGAGCUCGACGAUACCUCAUGGUCUCAAUGAACAUCAAACGCAGCGGGCGUGACAGACCGCCUAACACGAACAGAGAUAGAGGACUCAUGCGCAUCAGCUGCGUGAAAGAUAACGCUUCCAUUCGGCACAUCUAUCAUA